CCAGGGAGUUAAAUAAAGAAAUAAGGGUUGGACUUUUUUACUUCAACCAUUUGAGCCACGGGUUCUUUUAAGUUUGGGCCACUGCCCUAAAUAAAUAAGGCAUUGGAAUUUAAGUUUCCUUUAGGCUAUGAAAAAUGUCAUACCAUGUUUUGUUUAUGAUUACCUACUUAUUGCUAUGUCAAUCAUGUUAAAUCGAAUUCGGGUCCCAGUAGGGUCGCAAAUCGAAUUCACACAAGAUCAGAUAUGGUAUGUUAUGUGACUGCGCAGUCAAAUCUAUGAAAUGAUAAAGGAUUUAGUGACCGAGGAUUUAUUUAAAACAAAAAGCCCACGAUCAUUCAAGUAUGACUGACAACUAAAUAAGAACUGUUUUUGGCACUAAGUCCACGGGGUAUAUCAAAUACUCAGCCCUGCAUGUUUGUUUUUUCCUAACGUGCAGGUUGAUCGUGAUCGGAGCGAGAAGGUGUUGGGAGAGCCUUAUUAAUAAGUAGCUAGGUUGAGCGACGAUGAGCUGGGUGAUGUUGAGCUUAUAUUGAAGUCUUGCUGGUUAUUAUUUGAAUUCCGAGUGUCGUCGUGUCUUCAUAUAUGACGUCACUCUUUCUCUUGAACGCUUUCGCUGAAUUAUGACUAUUUUUCUCCAUUAUGUUCUGAACCCCGUUUACUCUUGAAUUAUAAAUGAUGAUAAUUUGUUGUCA